CUGUUGUAAAUGAUGAUUGUAUAGUUCAGCAGAGGAUGUUUCCAUUGAAGACAGCCUUUCGCCCCUAUCUGAUACAACUC